GUUAUCGCAAGUUACUUUUUUAUAUAAAAAGAAAUUUUAAAAAAAAUACUUUUCCUUAACAGUUAAUUUUAAUUAUUAUUACGAUAUUUAAUUUUAGAGGAAAAAAUUCAUCCACGCCAUUCCCGCCGCAACGACGGCUGUUUUAAAGCCACAGAAAAGUGAGCAAAUACCGAAAAGCCCAUCCUUGAUGAUUAAAAUUACGAUAAUACCUCUCUUCUCUUCCCUCAACUUGCGUGAACCACUUGACAUUUUUUCUACACCUACGUACGGACACGUUAAUGGCGUU
rnacentral:misc_RNA from 1 species